rnacentral:lncRNA from 1 species
GGUCAGUUGAUAGCACUGUCAGGUUCCCAGCCUGGAAAAGAAAUAAAAUUAGCUGGUCGUGGUGGCGCAUGCCUUUAAUCCCAGCACUCGGGAGGCAGAGGCAGGCAGAUUCUGAGUUCGAGGCCAGCCUGAUCUACAAAUUGAGUUCCAGGACAGCCAGGUCUACACAGAGAAACCCUGUCUAGAAAAACCAAAAAAAAAAAAAAAAAAAAAAAAAAGAAAUAAAAUUGAAGUAAUAAUCUGUGCUCAUUUUGUCCUAAAAUCACACCUAAGGCAAACUGAAGUGCCUUUUUAGAAUCAAGGAGAGGCAGAUGAAGGAGGCUAGGAAGUCAGAAUCUUAAGAGAUAUAACAAUGUUCCUUAGUCCUAGGAAUAGCCAUCCCAUACUGAGUUCUACUCGCUGUCAAAUACCUGUGAGUACUGACCAGUACUGGGAAGCUCAGGGUGUCAUCUUGCUCAUACUAUUUCCUCAGCUUUAUUUCAUAGAGUUGGGGAAUAAGGUCUUGCUAACUUGCUGAGGCUAGCCUUUUGCUCACUCUGUAGUCUAGGCAGCCCUUUCAAGAAGCUGAGAUUACAGGCCAAUUACCACCAGUCAGGUCUCUAAAGUACUUUAUGUCCUAAAGUCCCACGAUAAUCUGCUAUACCUACUUUUCCUAUCCUGCUGUUGGCUACCAGCUAUAUAACUUAGAUCUCUGGGUCAGAAUCCAUCUAGAAAGCAAGUAGAUUUUACACAUGAGCUCAGGGUCCUACCUACUCUGAUUUUUAUGGUUAUCAACUGGCUAAUGUUCUCUCAGAAACCACAGAGCUGCCCUGUGACAUCACCAGUUCAUAGUUUACUUACUGAAUAGAGUUCUUUAAGCUGGCUGUGGUCUUUUUCCUGUGCAGUGCUCCUACCCACCUGGAGGCCUCCUAGGGACUCAGGAGCACUGGAGGCAGGAGCACGGGAGGCAGGAGCACGGGAGGCAGCAAUGGGGCCGGAGAGUCAGGUCCUCCUGUUCCUUGUAAGUGAUGCUUGUUGGAAAAGAAAGACCCAAAUUAGUGUAUCUCAGUGCCUGGGAUGAAGAUGUGAACUAUAAAGGUAGCUUCCUGACUUCAGCUACCCAGGACCAGUCUUCCAACACUGUUUCCUAUAUUACCUAUGAAUUGGUUGCAGGCCAACCAAAUAGAAAAAUUAUACAAAUCCAUGCUAGGCUUCUAUCCUGCCACUUAACAAGUUCUUUCAAGUUGUUUUAUUUCCCUUAUACUUUAUGUAAUUAAAGUUGAAAACAAGUACCUUUUGUAACAACAAGGCAGCAUCUUCUCCCGGAGGGUGAUCCGGUAUUUGUAACAGUAGAGGUAAUAGGCGAAUGGUGACCAGAAUGGAUAGAGAUAGUUCCGUGUUUUUCCCCUCUUGAUAUAAGAAAGGGAGUAGAGAGAGGGGCGGGACCUGUUACAAGGCAGUUUCUCUGUUCAGUGCCUCCCUGCGGCAAAGUGAGGUUCAGCGGAUAAGUCGCAGAGGUUCAAGCCACCCUGUCCAUUGUGACCUGGCAGGCAUUAUGACAUAGACAUGAGGUCACUUGCUUAUGUCACUGCAGUUCCCACUAACCAAGGUUCAUAUUCAACUAGUAUAUACUUUACAACUAUAGCAAUAAUUAAAAUGCUUUAAAAGU